rnacentral:lncRNA from 1 species
CCAAAUAUACUGAAAUAGAUUUAAAUAAUUAAGAAUCUCAUAAAAACUAGAUAUAAACAUCGAAACUUAGUACAAAAUUCUCCCAAAAGAUCUAGGUGUCACGGAAUACCUGAGCAUCUACAUAUCAACAUAGUCUGACCAAUGGAACAUUACGUAGGAAUGUAGAACAGUAUAAAUAAGACUAAAAGAUAAAAGAGGAGAGUCAAGGUCUGCGGAUGCCAUGGCAGCUACCUCGACGAUAUCCGAACUGAUGAAAUGUCAGGAAUCAACAACCGACAUGCCCGAAAAUGCCUGGAUCUGCACACGAGGUGCAGGGUGUAGUGUGAGUACAAUCAACGCAAUAAGUAUCGCAAAUAAAUAAUUCAAGGUAAGAGAAGCUUAAUUUGUUGAGGUCACUAGUUAAAUCAGUGCAAUUAUGUCCUUUUUGAUUAACCUAGUAUAAAAUUUAAAGCUAGCUCAUAAGGCUUCGUGAAACGAAUAUCCGUGUGUGCACUGGUUCUCAAAUACCCUUCUCAACAAUAUCAUAGAAUGUAGAGGAAAGAAACACGGACAACUCACGUGCCAAUAACAUAAUCCGCCCGGAAGAGCCACAUGCCCUAGUCCAAAAUAUCAUACAUGCGAAAUAAAACAAGUAUACAGGUAUAUAAUGGAUGAAAUACAAUUCUCCUAUCCCUGGACUAGUGUAAAUAAUAUGUUAAAGUGUAGGUAUAUGCAAAUUGUGGUAUCAUAGCUCAAUCCGGCAAUUUCAUCAAUGAAAAGCAUUUAUCAAGUUCGUUCAGGGAUCAAACCUCUAAGUAGACUCAUCACGGAUCAAUUAGAUCACAUAAAUUGUUACAUGUUAGAUAUCGAAGCUCGAAGCUUAACAGUCAUUUCUGGGCUUAUAGGAGCUCGAGCACAACCCAAACUGAUGCACCAUGAUGAGCUGGACAAGUCAUCUGAGCGAGCCUAUAAGGAUGACCCCUGUUGUGGUAGGACUGUCCCCAGAAGGAACACCACUACCACCCCAACUACUAGGCCUCUUAGCCUCUCUCUCCUCAUGUUCCUGACUAUGGACCAUCUCUAUCUACCGAGCAAUAUUAACCACCUCGCCGAACGUAGCACCGGAUACCCUCUCCCGAGUCAUAAGCAACUGCAACUGAUAGGUGAGGCCAUCAAUCAAUCUCCUAAUCCUCUCCCUCUCAGUGGGAACCAAGCAACUGCAUGACGAGCCAACUCUGAGAACCUCCCCGCAUACUAGGUCACAAACAUGCCAUCCUGACGUAGCUACUCAAAUGCGCAGCUCCUCCCUGCGAGACUAUGGCACGAACUUCUCCAAGAAGAGAAUGGAGAACUCAUUCCAUGUAAGUAGUGUUGCACCGACCGACAUGUGCCUUUUAUAAGCCUCCCACCAUCUGAAGGCAACCCUAGUAAACUGAAAAGUAGUGAAUGAGAGAUUACUGGUCUCAAGAAUACUUGUCGUGCAAAAUAUCCGUUGGCACCUAUCCAAAAAGUCUUGAGAAUCCUCAGACUCAGCCCCCACUGAAUGAUGGAGGCUGGAGUCUCCCAAAUCUCUCUAGUCUCCUCUGCUCAUUAUCAGUCAUAAUGGGACCCACCUAGGCCUGAGAAACUGUAAUCGGUUGGGCUGGUAGUACCCCCGAUAUCUGAAAUCCCUACAUCACCUGCUCUGGAGUAUGGGAGGUGGAAGUCUGAGUACCUCCCCCGACCUAAGAAGUGGCUGCUGUGCCGGAACAGAAACUACCCAAGCAAGGGCACAGUCAAAAUCUGAGCCAAAGCCUCCUGAAGGGCUGGAAUCACAAUGGGCACAGCUGGUGCCUGAGCUAGCCCCACUGGCUCAACCAUAUCUGGUACCUACUUUUGAGCUAGAGCAACUGGUGGGUCUGCAGGUGUUGCUCUAGCUGUUGUACGAGCUGCACCUCUGCCCCUACUGCAGCCCAUACCACGACCCCAACCUCUCGUGGCCCUAGCCAGUGGUACUGGUGGCCGUCCGUCCUGACCGGUAGCACUUGUGCUCACCAUUUGUGAGAGAAUAAAAUAACAUAAGUUUAGUUACCAGAAUCAACAAAUCUGCACAACGAGAAUAUAAGAAUGUGAAGUUUUCCUUAGGGUUUGGCAGCCUCUCAAAGAUAAGUACAGACGUCUCUGUACUGAUCUGCAACACUUUACUAAACCUGCUCAUGACUCAUGAAACAUAUGUAACCUAAGCUCUGAUACUAACGUGUCACGACCCAAAACUCGACAUGUCGUAACGGUGCCUAUCAUGGUACUAGGCAAGCCGACAUCUCACACAUUCCAACAAUUUUAAAACCCAAAUAUACUGAAAUAGAUUUUAAUAAUUAAGAAUCUCGUAAAAAUUGGAUAUAAACAUCGAAACUUCGUAUAAAAUUCUCCCAAAAGAUCUAGGUGUCACGGAGUACAUAAGCAUCUACAUAUCAACAUAGUUUGACCAAUGGAGCACUGCCUAGGAAUGUAGAACAGUAUAAAUAAGACUAAAAGAUAAAAGAGGAGAGUCAAGGUCUGCGGAUUCCAAGGCAGCUACCUCGAUGAUCUCCGAACUGAUGAAUUGUCAGGAAUCAGCAACCGACAUGCCCGAAAAUGCAUGGAUCUGCACACGAGGCUUAGGGUGUAGUGUGAGUACAACCAACGCAAUAAGUAUCGCAAAUAAACAAGGCAAGGUAAAAGAAGCUUAAUUUGUUGAGGUCACUAGUUAAAUCAGUGCAAUUAUGUCCUUUUUGAUUAACCUAGUAUAAAAUUUAAAGCUAGCUCAUAAGGCUUUGUGAAACGAAUAUUUGUGUGUGCAUGUGCACUGGUUCUCAAAUACUCUUCCGAACAGUAUCAUAGAAUGUAGAGGAAAGAAACACGAACAACUCACGUGCCAAUAACAUAAUCCGCCCAGCAUAGCCACAUGCCCUAGUCCAAAAUAUCAUACAGGAGCAAUAAAGCAAGUAUACAGGUAUAUAAUGGAUGAAAUACGAUUCUCCUAUCCCUGGACUAGUGUAAAUAAUAUGUUAAAGUGUAGGCAUGUGCAAAGUGUGGUAUCAUAGCUCAAUCCGGCAAUUUCAUCAAUGAAAAGCAUUUAUCAAGUUCGUUCAGGGAUUAAACCUCUAAGUAGACUCAUCAUGGCUCAAUUAGAUCACAUAAAUUGUUACCACAUGUUAGAUAUCGAAGCUCGAAAGCUUAACAAUCAUUUCUGGGCUUAUAGGAGCUCGAGCACAACGCAAACAUGAAUAUUUAAUCCUGGUGUCACACCUCCUUUUUACUCCCCCCCCCCCCCCCGAGAGGGUAUAUAAGGGAGUUUUUCCAAUUAACGUGACAUUAUUCGAAAUAGAAUUAUUUAUUUAAAUCAGAGUCGCCACUUGGAAUAGUUUAAUUUGGUGUCCCAAGUCACCGGUUUAUUUUAAAAUCUCAAAUCGAGGAAAUUCGACUUUUAUUUUUAAAGUCUGCGAACCAGAAAUUCUAGAUAAGGAAUUCUGUUAACCCGGGAGAAGGUGUUACGCUUUCCGGGUUCUGUGGUUCUAGCACGGUCGCUUAAACUAUUAAAAUUGGCCUAUUAUCUGAUUUACUACAUGUUUUAAAUCUAUUGUGCAUUUUUAACUUAUUAACCGCUUUUAAUUAUUUUUAAAACACUUUUAGGAAGAUUCAACGUUAUUUAAAACAUGCCUUGAACCACGCCACAUGAAAUGCAUCCGCGGUUCGGGACACGUUCUAUUUAACAUUGUUAAGAAUUGAAAUUGGGUCACAUGAAAUGUACACCCGAAUUUAAUAAUUAAAAGAAAACCAAUUUAAAGAACGCGCCUAAAGCAACUACGAAGGUUCAAAUUAAUAAAAAAAUUUGUGAGGGCCAUGGAAAGUUUAAUUGAUGGCACACCUCGGUUUUUAAAGAGUUAGUAUUAAUUACGUGAGGGCCAUGAGUUUAUUUAAUGAAAAUGGCACACCUCAAAUUUUCUAUUAAAAGCCAACUAGUUUUAUGAGGGCCAUAGACUUAGGGAUUUUAUUUGGCAUGUCACGCCUCAAACUAUUUCAAAGGGUUUUAUUAUUCGAAAUUGUUAUAAUCGGGUUAAAUGAAAUGCACCCCGAAUUGAAAUUCACGUAUCGUGACCAUGCCACGGGAACCGUACCCAUUGUCACGAUCAUUUAUAACUAAACAAAUGGAAUAUUAAACCAACAUGAACUAUAAACUAACAUGGGAAAACAAACUAUUUUUCUAAAGCACGAAGUUAAAUUAGCUUUAAACAAAUGAGGACACAUAUAGGGAAAUUUUAUUAUUAAAAAAAAAAAAAGACAACAGUCAUUAACGAAAAAACAGAGUAGCCACGACUAUGGCUUUUCCACAAGGAACGAAACGAAUUCUGUUCCAUCAAUUAUUCAAACGGGCGUGAAUGAAUUGGCUUAGCCUCAAUCAUGGCCAGAAAAUUUUUAACAAUCCAUUUGCAGCUUAAACUCAAAAAAAAAAGAUGGCAAAAGAAAAAAUCAAGUAGGAACACACAACUAAAUUCAGAUAUACAUAAAAAUUUGUGUUGACAUUUCUUCAAAAUACAACAAAUUUUCGCGGAUAUAGGUUAGCUAUAUAUAUUGAUUUCGAUCUGCUUAGAUUACCAAAUAUACCACUGGUUCAUUCUCAAAUUCCAACAAGAAUUCUCAUUUGCGUCCUGACAUUUAUGUGCAAUUUACCUAAAACUAGGUGAGCAAGAAAAAUUAUAAAAGCAAGUGUCAAUGCUUUAAUUUCCAACACCAAUCAACACAUAUGCUGUUCCAACAGAAUUUUUGAUUAGAAUGUCCAAAACGCUAAUUACCCAGUUUCAGAAAUCGUUUGACAUAUAUAGGGCAUAUAAUUUGGAAAACUUAAUACCUUUGCCAUAAUGUGCAUUUGAGAAGGAAAAGGAAGAGCUCAUCAAAUCCGAAGAAAUAAACCCAGCAAACACAUCUUCUUUACACCAAAAAAAAGCUUCGAUUGACUGAAAUUUUCAGCAAUUACACGAGCAAGGUGAGCCAAUAGCUAAAGUCGAAAUCUGAAAUGGAUGGAACUCAAGCGAAACAACUUCAAACAGCAACUCAACUCAAUCAACCUCCAUAUGUGAAGCCCAAAUCAACUAAGAAGUAGAAACUUAAAAUAUUUUGGAAUUUUUUGUUAAAAUUUCGGACAUCAAACAUCUUAAAGAAAGAAGCAUCAUAUUACAUGUUUCUGCCUUUUUCUAAAAAAUCCAAAGAAAUGAAAGAAUCAAAAGGAAAUUCCAAAAAUUCUCAAAGUUUUCCAUUUGUCCUCUCGUUCUCUGUUGAAGGAGGAAUGCGCCAUUUUUUGGUUCUUUUCAGGGAGGGGAGGGGAGGCGGUGGCUCCUCAAUUUUUGGGGGAGCUCGUUCUGGUCCAAAAAAAUGGAAAAAAAAAACAAGGAGGGAAUUUGGUGUUUUUAGAUGAUGAAGAUGAAGAAGACCAAAGGAGGGGUGGUGCCUGUUGUGUUUGUCUUUUUGAAAAUGGGGGAGCAGCUUUUCUCUGUUGUCGUUUCUUUUCUGAAAAAAUCAAGAAGAAGCCUUGGAAAUGGGAGGUGCUGUGGGCCGUUUCUUAGGGGUCUCCAAGAAAUAGAAAAAUCUUAUUUUUGUAGCCUAAAAUCUUAUCCCUAUACACGUCUAAGUAUGGGUUUUAAUCGAAAGGGGAUGGGUUUUGGGCUGAUGGGUUCAAGUGUAUUUGGGUUGGGGUUGGUUUAAAUUUGGGAUUGGUUCUGAGUUAGCUUUUGGGGAGAAUUGGGUCAAUUUGGUACAAAGAGUUAACCCAAAUUCAUAUUAAAACCCCUUAUCAAUUACCUAUUUUAUUCCUUUUUCCUUUAUUUUUUCUUUUUAUUUUUUUCAAUUAAUUAAAAUCCUAAAUUAAUCUAUUUUUUUAGAAAUUAAAAUUCUUUAUUUAUUAAAAUAACUAAUUAACUUAAGACUAAAGAAAAAUGCUAAUUUUAAAGACUAAAAUCUUAUUAUGUAAAAAUGAUAAUUUUUGUGAUUUUUUGCUUAAUAAAAUUAAUUCUCACAUGCAAAUUAUACCUAAGAUGACAUGGAAUAAAAUGUGACAAUUUUUAAUAAUUUUUCUAUGAUUUUAAAAUAUUAAAAAUGCAUGAAAUGCAACUACAUAAAGAAAAAAUCCUAAAAAUCAAUUAAAAAAAUUGGUCUAUUUUAGGAGUUAUUUUCAUGUAGGGCAAAAAUCACGUGCUCACACCUGGUGCCCACACAUGGGAUCAUCCCCACGCAUGUGCGCACCCAAAAGCAUGUGGCUAUCACAACAAUUCAAGCAAUUGGUGCAUCAACCAAGUUUAAAUACGAUAUUUACCUCAAGCAACUCGAAUCACUUCGCUAGCAAGCUCUUGCCUCUCGAAUCGGUCUACGAAUGCCUUGAAUCUAGCAAUAAACAAUUCGAUACAAUCAACACGAGCUAAAGGAAUCAAUUCCAUAAGAAAAAUACUAAGUUCAUAAUUAAAAGUCAAAAAGUCAACUCGAAAGUCGGCCCACUAGCCCACGUCUCAGAAUCUAAUAAGAGUCAAAAAAAUCCGGAAGCCCAUUCAACCACGAGUCUAACCAUACCAAAUUUACCAAAAUCCAACACCAAAUCGACACCCAAAUCCCCAAUCUAAGCUCUCUAAAUCCCUAGCUACAAACUCCCAAAUUUACACCUCAAAAUCAUACAAUCUAGGUGGGAAAUUCAAUGGGGAAACAUAAUUAUUGAAUAAAUUUAACCACAAGUGGCUUACCUCAAGAAUCCUUUUGAAAUUCCUCUUAAAAAUUGCCUAAUCCUGAGCUUGAAAUGUCCAAAAUGAUGAAAAACACGGAACCCUCGAUUUUAAUACAUUGCCCAAGCAUUCUCGCACCUACGACAACUUACCCGCUUCUACGGUGUCGAAGAAGCGACAAUUCUUCCACGUCUGUGGUGAGCUACUGGAAACCAGCCUUCGCACUUGCGGAUUAUGCUCCGCUUCUGUGCAAACGUAGGUGCGACCAUCUUUCCCGCUCCUACGCUGCCCCCUCACUUCUGCACUUAACUUCACAGCAUCUGCGACCAUGCAGGUGCAGACAAUUCUUCGCACCUGCCACUAUAUCAUUCUUCAUUCCUGGCCGUAUCUGUGCUUCCCAGCUCGCACAUGCGAGCUAGCACCUGCGAUCAAAGCUCCGCAAGUGCGAUUGCACCAGAAGACUCCUAGCUUCAACAACUCUUUAACUCCAAACCUUGAUCCGUUAAUCAUUCGAAUUCUACCCGUGUUACGACCCCAAGCCGAACCCGGUCGUGAUGGCGCCUCUUGUGAAGACAAGGCCAGCCGACACAAUUUCCAAAUUUAGUUUUAACAGUUUAAUAAAUCAAUUUAAGUCAUUUAUAAGGGUAAAUCCCCAACAAGUACAGAUUUAGCAAAAAUAAAACAAGUGCGGAAAUAAAUACAGCCCGAGAUCGGAGUAUCACAAGUCACGAGCAUCUACUAGGGUCUAAAUACAACUGAAAAGUCUGAAAUGUACUAAAUACAGACUAAUGAUAUAAAGAGGGAGGAAAGCAGCGCUGCGAACGCCGGCAACUACCUUGCUAAACUCCGAUGACUUUACCUCCGAUCAACUAAUACCCGCUACUGGGUUCAGAGAUACCUGAAUCUGCACAGAAGGUGCAGGGAGUAAAGUGAGUACUCCAACUCAGUGAGUAAUAAUCAUAACUAAAGUCUGAAUGGUAAGAAAUCACGAAAAGUGCAUCAACAUGCUGUAUAGAAGCAGUACAAAACCAGUAAGAAAACAAUGAAGCUGUAAAAUUUCUUAAAACAUCUUAGCUCAGUUUAAACUUCUUUGAAAAAUAACUUUUUCAACAUGUACACAAAUGAAAGCAAAACAAUUAGUGCAGGUAAGCAUAGAAAAUCCGCCCCUCGGGCACAAAUACACAAUUAAAUAGGUAGAUGACAGGCAAAUAAGAAAGAUAAGUACAUAAGGUUUGCCCCUCGGGCACAGUGUCAACAAAUCCGCCCUCGGACAAUAUCUCAUAACAAUACCAGCCCCUCGGACAAUUACAUAGAACAAUACCAGCCCCUCGGACUAUAUCUCACAUCACAAUGGGUACCCGCACUCACUGGAGAUGUACAGACUCCGGGAGGGCCCCCUUACGGCCCAAGCGCAAUGUCAAGCCAUCUCGUGGCAUCAGAAACAGGCUCUCGGUCUCAUAUCAAUAUCAAGCCACCUCGUGGCGCACAAUCUCAGGCCCUCGGCCUCAUUAUCAUAAUCAGUAUCUCACUGUUGCGGCGUGCAGCCCGACCCAAAGGUAUCCUCACAAUACAGGCUCUUGGCCUUACUCAGUAAAGUCUCACAUAAGCCACUCGGGUAACAGUAAAACAUGAUGCUCAACCUAAAAAUAUUAUUUGAAAUAUCAUUUCAAGUGCUAAAGCAAAGUAAACAUGGUUGAGUUCUGAAAACAGUGAAAAAUAACAUGACUGAGUUCAAGUAUAAAGUCAAAACAGGGAGGAAAUAUCAAUAAAAAUACCCGAAGGGUUCAAAUAGUUAGCACGAAGCCCAAAUAUGGCAUUCAGCUCAAAUAAUGAUGAAAGCAAAUAGAUUUUAGUCAAAUACGCGAUAAAAUCAUCAAUCGGUACGGACCAAGUCACAAUCCUCAAUAGUGCACGACCCCACGCUCGUCAUCAAGCGUGUGCCUCACCUCAAUAUAGCACUACGAUGUGCAAAUUCGGGGUUUCAAACUCCCAGAACAUCAUUUACAAUCAUUACUCAACUCGAUCCGGUCCAAACUCUAGCCCGCGAUGCCUCGCCCGCACGAAUCGACCUCCGGAUGCUCCAAAUGUAGCCACAAUCAGUACAUAAUCAUUAAAAUAUGCUAAGGGAACGAAGCCAACUUGAAAAUAUCCAAUUUAAUAUUAAAAUCCCGAAAUUGCUCAAACCCGUCCCCCCGAGCCUACAUCUCGAAAUUCGAUAAAAUUAACAUCAAUGGAAUUCUCAUGCUCUCACGAGUUCAUACAUAUCAAGAACAUCAAAAUCGGACCUCAAAUGGCCCCUCAUCCCCACUCAAAGGUCUCUUAAUCUCAAGCCCUAAUUACCAUUUUUGCUACUGAUUAUCCAUGGAUUUCAAGCUUACAAUGUUAAAAUUCAUCAUAGAAACAAGUUUAAGGUCCAAAAAUCUUACCUCCAUGAAAUCCUCUUGAAUUCCCUCUUCAAUUAGCUCUCCCAAGCUUUCUCCCGGAUGAAAUAUGGUGAAAACCCUUUCAAAAUCGCGAAGGGUGAAAUAUAUACAUUCUGAACCAGGCAUUUCCAUAUCUGCGGUCAAUCUACCGCAUCUGUGGUUCCGCUUUUGUGGUCAAUGAACCGCUUUUGCGGUUUUCAUUAAAGCGACCCAAAAUCGCAUAUGCGAUGAAAUAGCCGCACCUGAGCCUUCGCAGAUGCGGUCCCACAACCGCUUCUGGGGUUCCUGCAACCUCACCAGCUUUCGCUUCUGCAACCAAUUCUCUGCAUAUGUGGCGUCGCACCUGCGGUCCCCAAUCCGCAGGUCCGGAAAUACUAGAAGCAGAAAAUCUGCAGCUUCUUCAAAAAUUCCCAAACUCUCCGUCAACCAUCCAAAAUCACCCCGAGGCCCCUGGGACCUCAACCAAAAGCACAAACAUAACCCAUAACCUUAUUCAAACUUAUACCAAACUUCCAAACACCUGAAACAACAUCGAAUCAACCAAAACACAUCGGAUUCAAGCCUAAGAUUUCAAAAUCUUCCAAAUUGUGCUUUUGAUAAAAAACCCAACCAAACCACGUCCGCAUGACCUGAAAUUUUGCACACAUAUCCCAAAUGACACAAUGGUACUACUGCAACUUCCAGAAUUUUAUUCCUACCUCUAUAUCAACUAGUAGGGUUAGCCCGGGCCCAAGAUGAACAACCUUAACGUAAGGGAGUAAGGGUAAUAUUGAGUGGAUGGGCUUUCAUUUUAGAUCUUGAUAGUAAAAAAAAAUUUUAGAGUACAUUUGUUAGUACUAAGCUAAGCUAGUAUAUUAUUUUUUGUAGGUAUGCAGUUGUGAUUUCACUAUUGGAUUAGAGCUACAGUGAAACGCUUUAAAGUUUUGGAGGUAUGAUGAAAACAUAAAUGUAUAUAUAAUGGGAGCUAUUUGAAUUUACCAAAUUAUUCAAAGAGUUAGUUUGCAUAGCUAACAGUAAACAAUUCACGAAAAUCUGCGUUGUUGUUUAUACAAAAUGCGAAAGAUUGUACUUACUAAAAUCUGCCUUGAUAAGAGUCAGUUUGUCUAGCUAUUUACACAAAAUAUGAAACAUUGUACUGCAGUAAACAGUUCACGAAAAUCUACGUACGUAUUUACACAAAAUGUGGAAGACUGUAUUGUAGUAUAAUAAUACCACCAAAAUCUGCGUUAAAUGCAAGCUGUCAAAGCCUAUUGAGGCGACCUUUGUUGCGCUUCAAAUCUGAUGAGGCAUCUGUAUGAACGACAAAUUGAGAGUUAAGUGUAGAAGAGUAGUUGAGAAUACGUAAUUUGGACCAAGAAUUGUAAAGACAUUGGACAUAGAUUUUGUUUUGAAUUGUUCGAAAAUUCUGAAAUUGUAGUAUAGCGCGAGCAACACAGGCUUUAUCGUAUAAGCAAAAUAACAUUGUUAAAUCUCCACUUGUCAAGGCACAAAAAGAUAAAAUUAAAAUAAAUGUACAUUUUAAAACUCAUUCUCUCAACUAAAAUUAAUAUUAUGGAUGUGGUAGCGACUGAUGCCUAACUCUAUGAAUAAAGGUGAAAUCCCUCAUGUAUGGGUUCUCUUUAGCUUAUUUGGUGCAUCUAUAUCCGAUGCUUUAGAGUGAAUCAAAUACCAUUAUACAAAGUACUUCCACAAAGCUAAGUUAAAACGUUAUGUUCCUUUCAUUUUCUUAUUUGAUGCAUAGAAAUUGAUAGCAGUAAAUGUAAUUAUUCAUAUGGCCUAUCAAGAAUUAAUUUCUAACCUUGAUUAUUUUUGGAAAGGAGUUGUUGACUGUACGUUUGGUUUUUUCUUUGGGUUUUCAUCUUGUGUUAAUGGACGGCGAUCUGCUUCUUCAGAAGUACUGAUUGAUUCUAGCUUUCUUUUACUUCCCUCGACAAUAGUAGCUGAUGUUAAAGAUUGUGCUAGGUCGAAGACAAUCUGUUUCUGCGUGUAAGAUGAGAUGACAAAGGUACAAGGUGGUCUAUCCGGUGUUCUGAGUAGUGAUUUCUGUAAAUGAAUUUUGAACAUCUCGUCUAGCAGGUGCUUUCUGAUAUGCUCAACAGGUAACACUUGUUUCUAUGGAAAAAAGUUUGCCACAGAAUUAGCCAAGUGAGGAUUUUAAAUUAAUUUGGACUGACGCAAAAUGAUUGUAGAGUUGUUAGUAUAUGAACCUUGACAAUGGCAGUUUCGUAUAUUUGGUCUGCUGUCAGUGAAAGCAUUCUUUCAGCUAGUUUAUUUGACACUACUGCUGUUAUUGUUCCGCUCCCGUCUGUGAUGUCAACUUCAAAUUCACAUCUACAAUGUUGUGUUUGUC